GAAUAAUAUAUGGUGUGAUAGAAUGUAUUUAUGGAAAUACUUCUCCAAUUUGAGCAAUGUGGCUAAGUCAGUCAGAAAGAGCAAGGGUAAUCGAAAGAUAUCAGCAAAGAAUCUGCAUGAUUUGUAAAGUAACAAACAGAAGAACAAAGGAAUAUCAAGACCAUUACAAUACAGAUGUGCUGUGUUCAGAACACAAAAAGGAAGAGAUCGUCGCUUCCAAUUCCAUCCCAUCAAAAUCAACAGGACCGAUGGUGAAUUCCCCAGGACUUGAAGCUGGACCUAAAUGCCCAUCCCUUAAUACGGUCAGAGCAUCAGCCAUCUAUUUUUGUAUGAUACUUGUGUUGCUGAGCAGAGCACAUCUGAAAAGAUUUUUCUCUAUUUGCAGACUCAGAACAUUUCAAAACAACUAGACUGUGAUUUAAUUACAACUGGUAUGACUCUGUAGUUGUCAUAGCAAUAGAAUGAAUGUAUGUUGUUAAAAAGCCUUCAAACAGCUAGCACAGACCUCGUAAUUCCCUAUUCCUAACCACUCUACCCCAUUUAUAGCCAUGCUGGAAAAAGACUAAUGAAGAAUUAGCGAUGGUACUAAGCUUUCCAUCUCUGAGCAGCCGGAAAUUGUCCCUAUUUUCUUGAAAGCCUGUCUUUUCCAUCUCUUAAUGCCAUGUUGGCUAAGCUGGCUGUGCUGUGUGGGACUGCCCGUUACAGGGUAUUCACUCGGUACAAAGCAAUGUGUCUGAACAGUCUGAAACAGAAGAACCUUCACUGCAUUAGCUACUUCUGUGUUCAGAAGCAUCUCUGAAGCCUUCCUUUGUGUGAGGUCACCCCACAGACCCAGCUUCCUUCCCCCCACUGGGAUUCUUGCACGCAGCACAGCUUGGUCUGGUGGGAGAGCAUGCUCGUACCAUGUCACGGGCAUGGUGAGACACACACACAGCUGUGCUGAAGGAAGGAGAUGGAAGAAGCGAGAGGCAUGUUGUACACUGCAGCCUCAAUGGUUUUGGAGUUGACUAAACAUUAACACUCAUUCACUUUACUGGAAGGGAGAUACCACUGUGAGUCAGUCCUGGACUCCUUCAGUAAGUACUCUGCAACACGUAAUUCAUUUUCCUUGUUUAAACAGAAGCUGUCCCCAUUUUACUACUGCAGUACUAUACUAGCUAUGGACUCAGCCCUUUUCUAGAAUGAACCAACUGCUAAGAAGGCCGUAGAGUCUUUACAGAAAAAGAAAUUAAAUCAACUGCGUUGGUUCCAGCUGCAUUCAUACUUCCUGAUACAGAAAGAAAGAAAACUGUCUGAUAGAAGUCUAAAGGUAUUAGAGUCCAGCAAUACAGACAAAAAGUUUCAAGAGUUUCUUGUGUUAUAUCCUUAAAAGGUUAUAUGUAAUUUAAAGUGGGAUUACAGAGGGAAAAUGGGAAGUGUUGUUACCGGUACAUGUUUGUGACUGAGAGCAGCAAGCUUUUGUAGUAACACAGCUUAUUCUAUCAUGCACAUAACUAAACUCUGAUUCGGAGCUGCAUGUAACCAUUACUCAGUAUUUAAGCUGUAUUUUCCCACCAAGCAUCUCUCUCUCAAAUCAAUUUCUCUACCUCACGUUGUUAUAAUGUGGUGAAGAGAUACAGCUCAGCAGCCAAAACACCAGGCAGAGAAAUAUGCCUCUGCAACAAUUGUUCACUGAUGGAAAUUUAUUGUUUUUAAAGCUUUUCACUAGCUAGCCAGCCUUCACUGUAUUUGAAUUUGGAUAAGGAACAUAGACCAUAACUUCUCUCCCAUGCAAGGUAGUCUUAAAACAAAGAAGGUGCUGAAAACUUAGCAAGUCGUAACGAUCCAUCCUUUUUUCCAGUACAAAUAAUGUUGUAGAAUAAAGCUUUGAGACUUUUAUGCUUCUUUUCA
ensembl:lncRNA